CUAGAGAUCUGAAUGUUUACAUAUGUUUUUCCUUUAAGAAGGCUGUCAGAAAUUUAUACUUAAGUGUCAUGUGGCUACAUGUGCAGCUGCUCACAAUCGCAGGCGGCCAUGUUUUUAAAGGGCCAUGAGGAGGGAAAUUGCAGAUUUGCAUAAACUGGGUUAUUCAGUUAAGUGUAAACUGUCAGGAAUUAAAAGUGACCCUCGAGUUCUAGGCCAAAAUAAUGAAAUGGAAAAUUCUCUACCACAUAUUCAGCUAUUUUGGUUUACAAUUUACACAUUUCUUGAUACAGUGAUAAAUCUGACUGCCAUUCUGGC